CCUACGGGAGGCAGCAGUGGGGAAUAUUGCACAAUGGGGGAAACCCUGAUGCAGCGACGCCGCGUGAGUGAAGAAGUAAUUCGUUAUGUAAAGCUCUAUCAGCAGGGAAGAAAAUGACGGUACCUGAGUAAGAAGCCCCGGCUAACUACGUGCCAGCAGCCGCGGUCAUACGUAGGGGGCAAGAGUUAUCCGGAUUUACUGGGUGUAAAGGGAGCGUAGACGGCAGUGCAAGUCUGGAGUGAAAGGCGGGGGCUCAACCCCCGGACUGCUCUGGAAACUGUACUGCUGGAGUGCAGAAGAGGUAAGUGGAAUUCCUAGUGUAGCGGUGAAAUGCGUAGAUAUUAGGAGGAACACCAGUGGCGAAGGCGGCUUACUGGACUGUAACUGACGUUGAGGCUCGAAAGCGUGGGGAGCAAACAGGAUUAGAUACCCUUGUAGUC
rnacentral:rRNA from 1 species